CGAGACUCUUUUAAAUAUAAUUCGUUCGUUUUGUUAUUCGUUAAAAAUUUGGUAUUGCUUCUUAGGAUUAUUCCUUGUUGUCCAAUUUAUUGUGAUAGUUUUGUUUUGGUGUUGAUAUUAAAAUUCGUAUUUGUACUCCUUGAACUAGUUAAUCGUGUCAGUAUAUUUUGGAGACUUUAUUCGUUUGUACAAUUGUUCGUAUAUUUUCGUUCACAUUCGGGAGUCAUUUUGAUCAUUGAUAUAUUGUGAUAAUCAAUAAUAAUUGUAUUUGAUAAUUCGAUCUCAUUUGAAUAUGGUCAUGUAAGCCUUGUGAUUUGAACCCCUGUUGGCUUACAUUUUGUAGUUUGAUCCUUAGGGUAUACUUGAGCUAACCACCUGUGGGGGUACCACAGGCAUGUCCUCUUGACACAAGGGCAUGACACCUUCCGUGGCGGUGUGAUUAGUCCACGGCGUAUCCUUUUGUAUGCUCUGGGUAUGAGCUUUGGCCAUUUGAUAUAUUUGUUCAGGAUACGUAUGGGUCGACCCAGUAUUUGAUUUGAUUCUAUUUGUUUGGCGGAUUAGUGACGUAUGUGUCGUGCGUACUAUCCGAUUUGAUUUGUAUACAUCAUGGUACCGAUGUAUUUUGUUAGCCUUUGGCUAUUUGUAUUUGAGCUCAGUAUGAAAUUGUUACCUUACAACCAUUUGAUUCAGCCUUAUUUAUUUGGAAUUCUUUUGGCUAUAAUUAUUCGAUUGACAGUGUUAGUCAUUUGUUAAUGGACUCUCAAAUUUUGAUCUAUUCGUCAGUCGUUUGUAAUUUACAUGUGUUCAUUCAUUAAAUUCUUUUAGAUUCAUUAUUUAUUGUGAUAUAUUUAUUCAUCUUCGUAUCCGUACUGGGCAAUUGGCUCACGCUAUGUUCUUUUUCCGGCAGGUAAUCAGGGGUGAUCAGGAUUUGUGGGAUGAGAGCUACCUUUGAUCCAAAUGAGUAGAUUAGCUUUUGAGAUUAUUAUUAGACUUGGUUUUCCUAAGAUUUUGUUACUGGAUGUUUUGGGGUCUAUUUUGAUAUUUAUUUAUUCUUAGUAGAGACUAUGUAAAUGUGGAGUUCAUUCUAUUUAAAUUGGAGUAUGUGACAUUUGGUAUUAAAUUUUAUUGGAGAUAUUUUGAGGUUUAUUAGAGAUUUGUAUUUAUUAUGUUUGUGCGUGACAUCCCUUUUUCCUUUUGGGAAAGGGGGUGUUACAG
rnacentral:lncRNA from 1 species